rnacentral:rRNA from 1 species
GAGUUUGAUCUUGGCUCAGAGCGAACGCUGGCGGCAGGCUUAACACAUGCAAGUCGAACGGACCCUUCGGGGUUAGUGGCGGACGGGUGAGUAACACGUGGGAACGUGCCCUUAGGUUCGGAACAACACAGGGAAACUUGUGCUAAUACCGGAUGUGCCCUUCGGGGGAAAGAUUUAUCGCCUUUGGAGCGGCCCGCGUCUGAUUAGCUAGUUGGUGAGGUAAAGGCUCACCAAGGCUACGAUCAGUAGCUGGUCUGAGAGGAUGGCCAGCCACAUUGGGACUGAGACACGGCCCAAACUCCUACGGGAGGCAGCAGUGGGGAAUCUUGCGCAAUGGGCGAAAGCCUGACGCAGCCAUGCCGCGUGGAUGAUGAAGGUCUUAGGAUUGUAAAAUCCUUUCAGCGGGACGAUAAUGACGGUACCGGUGAGGAAGCACCGGCUAACUCCGUGCCAGCCGCCGCCGUAAG